ensembl:lncRNA
GUGCAGAAUGCACAGAGGAUUAUUGUGUCGGCUGCUUUGCCAAAUUCCACCAGAAGGGGGCACUAAGGGUCCAUCAUAUUAUUCCCAUGCAGUCCAGCCCUGACACAAGCAUGUAUUUAGCUUUUAGGGAGGACCAUAUGGACCAAUAAUGAUAUGAAUCCAGUUUUGACAUUGUGGAGACUUUAGUUUUUCCCCACGAAGGGUAAAGGUUGGUGUUCACCCAGAUGGUUUCACCAGGGGGCAUUGUGGAACUGAAAGUUGACCUUACAAUUGAAGCUAGCUUAUCUUCUGGUUUUUGAAACUUUAUUCAAUUUAGCAUUUAAGUUAAUAAAAUGUAAGUAUUCAUAUCUUUAUUAUUGAAUUAAUUAUGUAAUUUGAGCUUGAAUACCAUAGCCAUAAAGUCAAGAGAGCAAAAUUGGCUAUGAUCUCUG